CCUUGCACAAACUUAGCCAACCUGAGCAAUCUUCUUCCAGAUGGGUGCUUCAUUAUUUAAGUGAUACUGCACUGUUAAGCUCCUUCAGAAAUGGCCAUGCCAAGCACGUCUGGUCCUCAGAUCCUUAUCUCCUGACAAAGGAUUCUGAACCUCAUAUAGAACUGCAGAUGGAAAUGGACCAUGAGGGCCCAUUUCUCUCUACCACAUCAGAAGUGCUUGCUGCUUCCCUUCUGGAGUCACAGUUGUAUGUGCGGAGUUGCUUUUAAACACAGAUGCCGGAUGCUUUGGAAGUGAUGGAUUGAGGUGCACACAUAAUGACCUGCUCCAGUCAGAAACUGAGAGCCUCAGAAGGAUUUGCCAACCAGAUCUACAGAAUGAGAUUGCAAAUGCAGCUUCAGAAAUGAAUGAAAACAUCAAAAUCCACAGAUUGUUAAGUAUAUUCAAGACUGAGAGAGGAUAAAAGAACAAAAAAAAUGGACCUGGAGCCUGGUAGGCUUUGGAUGAAGCUUUACAAGAGUUGCAAAGGAUGCUGUUGCGAUGGGGACCCAUCUGGACAUGUGAAACACAGACUUGACUUGCACAGCUGAAAAUGCAUUAUUUAGAGGUGGGAAUGCUCUGUGUGGCCCAAGCAUUAUUAAUGGCCCUUUGUUUCAUAGCUUCAUAGUAUUUAAACUGUAUUGUUCCAAUUACUGAAGACAUUUUGUUUUCUGAGAUAUAUCUCUCUCCCCAAAAGUAAAACAUUGUAUUUCCAUUCAGCAUUUUUUUCUAAGUUGCACUUGACUAGUAAUAGGUUUCCUUGGAAAGCCAUCAGUGAAUUUAUGUCACAAACAGGUCUGUCUCUCUAUUGAUUCAGACAUACAAAAUCUAAGCAUCUAUAUGUUGCGGUUGUUCUGUUUGUUGCACUGCUGCGGACUGAUAGCAUUUCACCAGAAAAGGUCUUGUGUCUGCAGCUAUCCUAUUUUCUCUCGUGUCACUCAAGUGAGCUGCCUUGCAGCUCGCCCACGCUGAGGUCGGAGCAGAGCCGCAGGAGCUCACAGAACCUGCUGGGGGCUGUCGUGCCAGGCACCCGCUCAGCCACUGGGUCCUGUGGGUGAGGAUGCGAGCAGAGUUCCCAGCACUGCUGGGAGCCAAACAAGCUUUUGCCUGAGUGAGCUCUGGGGGAUGGGGCACUUGUUCACAGGCAUGAACUCCUUCAAUACUGGAUGUAUUCAGAAGAUGGAAAUUAGCAAUAUUACAAAUUCAGAAAGCAGCAGACGAGCAUGUAACAUACUGAAUAUGAGCUCACCUCUCUUUUUGACUAGCUGCUCCCAACUCAGCAAGCCCUCUGACCAGUGCCACUGUAGCCUUUGACCUUAUUCAUUAGAGAUAUUUUGAUGUACUGUGAGCAGUAUGAACAGUGUUAUAUGCUCGUUUAUGGGUUAACCCUGUCCUUAUUAGAUUUGCACUUUCCAGCCUGAAUUCAUGAAAGUUUGGUUGGCAUGUAGGAUUUUGCCCUCCCUUUCUGCUCUCUCAGCCACUAAAGUAAUCUGAAGUCAUCCUUUUCAACUGAAAUUUUUUAAGCAUUAUCUUUAUCUCUAGUUGCCAGUGUCUUUAAGAGCUUAACCUCAUACCUCUCACAGCUACCUCUUGCUUCUGGAGAGCAAGAAGACUUCACUUCCUGCACCUGUUGCCAGCAUCACUGUGGUUUCCCAGAACUGAAGAACCAGUGUGCGCUGAGCAAUACUGAUGCUAUACGGGGUUACCAACAGGUAUGAAGAUGUGAUUAGUCAAUGUUACAAAGAUUUUGGAGGGCAAAAUUGAGGAGGGAAGAGUAUUUAUUUUCUUUAGCCUUCAUCUUCUGCUUUCCCUUGACAUCUGCUCCACACAAUUUGCAGGCAGUCACAGUGUGCACUUCUUUCUCCUGCAGAGGCUCUGCUUCCUUUGGAAAAGGCUUCCACAAGGAUACCAGAAGCAUUAAAAUCUCACUUGAUCCACUUGUUUUUUUACCAGCCUUACUUGAUUGCCCUACAAAAACAGAUAAGAAUAUUUUCCUUGCUCUCUAGAGUAAAGUCCUCCAUUAUCAUGUCACGAAAGGAAACAGACUGUUUGGUAGCUGAGGAAAAAUGCUGACUUUAAACCUGGGAUAAGGUUCUAUCAUUUACACUAAUGAGCUCACUGGUGGGGAAUUUGUAAAAUUUUAUGAUAAAAAGUAGCUGUAGUCAGUAUCUGAUGGAAUUUUCUAUUUCUUUUUUUUUUUUUUUUGCUGAAAAUACAUGUAACUAUUAAUAAUUUUCCUAUCCAAAUCCAGAGAGGAAAAAAGGCAGUAAGAAUUGUCCCAGACAAAGUUCAAAGAAUUGGUAAGUAACCCAUUAUUUUAGAGAGUUAUCCUGCUGGGAAGGCUGCAAACACAUUUGACUAGUUGAAUAAUGAGUUAGUUACUCAGAAGGAGGAGACCUUAACAAAAUAUUAAUAUUAGGAUUUUAAUUGCUGGUGACUUGUGGUUAAAAGUCUCCAGAUCUGAUAGUCACAUCAUGCCAGAUUUUUAUUUUUGAUGGAAAUGUACUCUGAGACUGUAUGUCCAGUAAGUGCUAUGAAAACAGGGAGGUAUCUAAUAGCCUUCGCUGGUAUAUUCUGCCAGAGCACUGACAAAUACUGAUGAAAUCUACUGUAGCUUACAAAGACCUAGACUGUUCUGUUCAGAACCAGAAUGGACAAAUACAGCUGGAGAGAUCAACGUUGCUAUGAAACUGGUGUAAGUGGAUGCAAUCAAAUAGGGUGACAGUAAGCAGAGGAAAAAGAGAUAUCUUCAGUUGAAGGGACAGGAAACUCUCACAGUGUGGUUCUCAUUGUGAGACGUGAAUGAAAUUCCAGCAAUUUUUCUCUCCCCCUGUUUGUUUUUUUUUUUUCCAGCCUACUUCCCAAGUUUGUGAUAUUUAGACUUCGUAGUGCUCCUGGUGCAAUGCCUGGAAAAGCUGGCCAGAGCUGCAGUACAGUGCAGGGACUUCCUUGCAUGACCACUUGCCCCUUUGUGCAGGCAAGAAAUAAGUCUUUACAAAAUAUUCCAUGUGCUGAUUGUACCUCUGCAACCUAGUUUCUGGAUAGCUCUGCUUUUGCAGUGAUCUAUUCUCCUGAGAGUCAUGGGUUUGCCACAUCACUUUGACAGCAAUUUGGGAAUGUGCGUUGGGUUGUAUUAGAGGCACUUAUCUCAUAGUAGAAAUAGCAAAAAAGUAAACAAUGUACAUGAAAACUAGGAUAUGGGUUUGCUAAUGUUAAGGACAAAAGGACAGGUGAAUUGCAGAAUGCAGUGGACAGCAGAAAAAGGUUUGGAGGAAAUAAGAGGGAUAGAUAUUCUAUAGGCUUACUGACAUUUUUUUUUUUUUUCCACUCUAUGAGUCCUGUAAGGCACUGGCAAUAUAGGAAAGCAAGACAAGCUGACAAAAAGAUUGGUCUGAGAGGCUGAGAAAUGGCUGUGAAGCUGGUUUUGCAUGCAGGUGAUCACAACUACUAUCAUCUUUCAAGGAAAACAUGUUUUUCACAAAAAUAUUGUCAAAUCUGCAGCUCUCGUUGUGCAUCUCUGUCUUCUUAUAGCUCUUAUCACUCCAAGAUUUGAAUAUCCUAGUGCAUAAAAGAUUGUAUAUAAUGUCUUCUUCCUGUCUAGCUUUCCUCCAUGCUGUGCCCAUCACUUUGUACUUAGUACAGAUGAAAUGCUGAAGUGUUGCAACUUUUCUGUGAGAGGAACAGCCACUAGAGGGGAGGAUGUACACUGUGAAGUCCCCAUCAGUACCCUGUCACUGAGCUUCCUCAGUAAGUAAUAAAUAAAUAAAUCAGAAUUUUAAGAUCAUUUGUAGGCUGUCCUGGUAUAUCCUUUUGGGUAAAAUAUAUUGAAUGAGGUUUUUUUUAGUAUUGCAGUUUCAGUGUUUAUCUUGAAACACAGCCAAAACUAAGGACCAGGAAAAAAAAAUCAUUGGCUAAAUUACACAGAGAAGAUUGGAUUACCUGUUCAAACACAGCUCUUAAUUCUAGAUUUAAAUAGAAUCUCCAAAUACAACAGAACUGUUGCAGAAAAUAAAGCUAGCCCCUAAUAACCCCUAAUUAUUAGGAGUUUCAGUUAAAAUUUGGACAGUGUUGGUUUUAAUUCUUUUAAAUCAGAAGAGGCAGCAUGGUCACAGUAUCCCCAUUUACAAUUACAGUGAGCACACAUGCUGUUCCAACACAUGCUGGCUUUAGCUGAGUGUUCUCUGGCAAGUUGGGUUGGGAUUUUGCCCUGUUAAAAUACAAUUACCCAUUCGAAUAGCAAAUAAUUUUCAAUUUGAGUUAUUUCUUUGUAACAAUGCACUUGUUUUGAAAGAAGCGUCUGACAAAAAAAACAGGUCAAGCUCCUGACACUUGCAUCUUUGCUUGCUUAGGAAUUGUUUGCACCUGAAAGAAAACCUGCUGAUAUCCUAUCUGAGCAACUUUCAUGGCAUCAGUAAAUACCAAAGAGAUUUGCCUCUGAAGAAGAUGCUCUCUCAAGGUAAGACUGAAAUCCAAAGUUAGUUUAAAAUAGGAAAGAAAGAAAUGCUUGGCAGCACUAUGGGUAUAUGGACAAUUACGGCUAUAUAAACCAGCAUGUUUAAUGAUUUUCCAACCCCUACAAUUCUGUGAUUCUGUGAUUCUGUAACUAUCUUUUACAUUGAGCUAAUAUUUUUCUCACUUUUAACUUCAUCCAAGGUAAUGUAUAAAUGGGAGAUUAGAAAUCAAAGACUGUAUUGCAGGCACCCAAUGAAAAGCAGCAGAUGACAUUACUGGCACUGUCUUAAUAAAUUUGUUCUUCAGAAGGUACAGAACCCAAUGUUCAUGCAGCCCAAUGAUCCUUCAAGGUCAACAGUUUUAUAUUUGUCUACUGCUGCCGUUCCCAGUUUGGUUAAGAUCAUCUAACAGUUUCCCUGUUAUCCUCCUGUUUACAGCUACCUGUAAAGAUAAAAAAAUCUUAUUUCUGAGAUUGAGAUUUGCCAAAAUUGUAACUGGAAAAUGUGAAUUUUUAUUUAAACAUCUUAUCACAGUCUUUGCAAACAUUUUAAAAUACAUCAAUUUUCUGGGAAAACACCAAUAUUAUUUUGUUAGUCUCUGGGCAGAAGAUCUGAAAGUAGAAAAUCAGAACUAUUUUUCUAUAGGAAGCAGGGCAUGAUUAAAUUUGGGAACCAAGCUGGUUUAAUUGGGCCAAAUAAAAUUACAGAAUGUUUGGAUAUGAAUCUACACAACUGUCUACCUGGCAGUUAUUCUUGGGUGCACACCUCAGAAAGCUUAUGCACUCCUUAGCUGUUCACAUUACUGGCUGGGUUUUACCCUCUGUGCCUGUUUUCUCCUACAAGAAGAAGUAAUCACAGGAGAAUUCCCUAGGCCCAGUGCUGUUCCCCACUGGCACCUGAAACGGCCUGCCUGUGCCAUUCUGUCUUUUCUCUGCUGUGCAAAACCUGUGCUGGCAAGCACAGUGCAGCAAAUCUGCAGUCAUUCUUAUUCCAUAGGGAGUGGGCUGACAGAUCGCUGCUGCUGGGUGGGACCCCAACAGCUUAUUUGUUCCUGCUGUGUGCUCUCACCUGACUCAACCUGCUCUUUGAGAUACCUUAAUUGCUUGCUGUGGAAGCUGAAGGUGACACCAUAAGCAAAUCACCAUAAAUACAUACAAAUCUCUCUUACAACUGCAAAUCAAACAGUUGUAGUAGUGCACAGUAUAGAUCAACAAGAGGUCUUUUGCUAUAAAUCUCAUUUUCAUACAUCUUCAGACUUUGUGCAAAAUCCCAGCAGAUGCUAGGGGAGAGGGGUAUCUGAAGUUUAUAAGGGCAAAGAUGAAUCCCUGAAUUGCCUUUUUGCUGUUCAACUAAUAUAGCAGAGAGCAAACUGCAUUUUCAGAACUGUGAACAAACCACAUUUCAUAUAAGUUAUCUGGUUACAGGCCAGACCUUGUAUUUAUAACUCAAAAAGGAUUAAAUCAAAAGGCAAGUAGUCCAUGAAAAGGUGGUUUUAUACACAGCCAGCUAAACUCUUGAUAAAUUGUUCUCUUGAAGGAAAAAAGGCUUCUAAUAGAUUUUUCUGUAUUUGUUUUCAGAAGCUUAUAGUUUCUCCCCUUAGAGGUUUUCUUUAUAAGGGAAGCUAGUUAAAUGUCCAGUGAGACUGAGUUUCCAAGGGUGAUUUCCCUAAAACAGGAUUAGGGCUUACUGACAAUGUAAUGCAGGGCAGGUAAUGCUGCUGUUGCUCAUGGUUUUAACUGCUUUAUGGCUAAAUCAUAUUUCAGUUUCUAAAGGCAUCAAUUCAGUACCUCUGAGCUUUUAACUUCCUUCUGUAAGGUAAAAAAACAAACAAAAAGGUUUUUUGGUCUUCCCGUAUUUUUCUGGACUAAAACAAGCAACUUUCUCAUUGCCUGAGCAGGACAGUAACCAGUCCUGAAAUGGAUCAUCAGAAAUUUAUGAGAAUUACUGAACUAUUUUUUUUCCUCCAGAUUACUUCCAAGUUGGUGUUUUUCCUCACAACCAGGUGAAGCAUUAGGGGAGUUUUGCAGACUGACAAUCCAUUCUGAAUCUGUAAACCAGACCAGCCAACCAGUCACAUAACCAGCUCAGGGCUAGUUACCACAAGGUGGAUGGUUCACACAUUUUCUCCUUACCCACAGAAAUGUUUCUGAAAACAAAGACAAAAAAAAAAAGGGCCCUACAUGAGAAAUACCAUCUCUUAGUGUUAGACUGUGUUUCAGUCUAACACCAAACAACAAAUACUAUAGUUUGUCAACGAAUUAAUAUUGUUGCCAUUGUAUCUGAACAACAAUUGUCCUGUUGUAUCUUAGUGACAUUGAUUAACAAAGCAAUUUGUAAUUUGAUGGAGUCGUGUAAUUCUCAUCCCUCUGUAAACAUCUGGAUUUGCAAAUCUGCACUCCUAGCUUGGGAGCUCUUUGCCACACAUCACUAAUUAAGGCAUGUUCUUAUAUAUCAGUACAUACAUCCUCCUGCUGAGCAUCUUUUCUCUGUUCCCAGUACAAAUAACAGCCUGUUGUCAAUGCAGAGAAAACCAUCAUAACAGCCUAGCUCAGCAUGUGACAUUUAAUGAAAAUGAAGUAAUAUCUCAUUUGCAUGGCUGGCAUUACUUUAUUAAAGCCAGAGCUGCAGAAGCUGGGCGCUACAGCGCAAGUCAAGUGUGCAAGGCUGAUAGUCCAUAGGAAUGAUGGUGUCCAGCACAGGCAGGUUUGCACUUCCCCCUGCCUGUCUGCCCAUCUCCUGUUUGUAGGUAUGGCUUCUAGGAAAUCGACAGAUCUGUUCCUUUUCCCAGCUCCUGCAGUUCUUGUUCUCUGUUACUUCCAUCCCUCUGAGCCCACGGAGCUGGGAACCAGAGCCCCCCUUGCUUCUGCCACAGCAGUCCCCCGGAAUCAUCAUGGGCGAACUCCAGCUGAGGAGGGAACCCAUCAGAACACCCAUCAGAACUACAGAAAGCAGCGCACAAGAAAUGAGUCUGUUGUGCAGAGGAAGUGCCUUAAAAGAGGAACAUACACAUAUUUUUCAUAACGUCAGAAGAGUGCAGCUAAGCACUCAGAACUUUUUACAAAGUUGCGCUCCUUCAGUUUGCGUUUCCCUCUGCUAUUUCACCAGCAUUGAUAAGGAAGCAAAAUUCUUAUUGUGGCUGAUUCUGAUUUGCUUUAGCCCUUAGACAUAUUUAUAAAUAACGAUUUGAUUUGAAGAAAGUUUCUGUUUCUGACCUUG